CCCAACUAAAAGAUCUUAUUAUAUCUUUAUUAUAAUUCAUUUAUGGCGAGAGCUAAUUAUUCAUGAGUUUUAUAUUAAGUAUUUGUACCCUUGUUAUAUUUUUUGGUUUUAGAAACUGUGUGGUUGUUUCUGAGCGCCGCCAUUUUGUGUCAGUGCGGCCAUCCUGUAACGUGAGAUCGGUCAGGGUUUUUUUUGGUUGUUUGUUCUCUGGAUUUGGAUCUUCCAGCGACGUUGAUGGCGAGCCUUCCCACCUGGAUCAAAAGUGAAAGUGAAACAGUAUCACCAGAUACUACCAGUGGCUUCUUGAACGUAUCCUAAUUCUGCCACACCCUGUGGGUGGUAGGCCGACUGCUGCAAAACAUUCUCACAUUCAGCCCCCCCAGAUCAACACACACACACACACACACACACACAUUCCCCCUUAUGACUCUGACUUGACUUUUGACUUUUUGACUUCAUCGUGUGGAACUGAGAACUGAGUGGCAGGAUAUUUUCCUGAAGAGUAUUGGUUGGAUGCAAAAUUGAUUGUUCUUUUGGCCAUGUUAUAUAAUUGAAUUUGAUUUAGAUAGAGAAUUGUACAAAAGUAAUCUUAAAUUCAGUUUAGAAUUAAGAUUUUGAUAAUUAAUGUGAAACUGAGCAAUUGCAAAUGUGAUACUUUUUUUUUGUGAUUUAAUACAACCAGUGUUAUCAGUGUGAGUGGUCCCAUUGUUUGUGAUUUUGUAUGUAUUAUUAUUUUCUUUAAUACAAAAAGCCGGCAUGUUCCUAAGUUCAA